UGAGCAAUCUGCCCUUCUCAUCGGAAUAAGCGUUGGAAACGACGUCUAAUGCCGAAUACGACCUCCUUUCGCAUGAUCGGAGGUGGAAAGCUCCGGCGGAGAAGGAUGAGCUCGCGGCCUAUCAGCUAGCUGGUGUGGGUAAUGGCCCACCAAGGCGACGACGGGUAGCCGGCCUGAGAGGGUGACCGGCCACACUGGGACUGAGACACGGCCCAGACCUCCGUAGGGAGG
rnacentral:rRNA from 1 species